GACCAAGCUGAGAGAGAGAGAGAGAAAAGCAACAAAAACGGCUGCCUCAUGUGCUGAAAUACAGGGACCUGCAACGUGGAUACUUAGCGUCAUAUAGCAAAACAUCUUCAAGUCCGGCGUCUUUCAGCUUGAUCACGGCUUCAACCCACGUCCUUUGCGUGUAGCACGUCUUCAAGUCCUUCACGUCUUCAACCCACGACGAUUACUCUACUCGAGUAAUUCUAUCCGUCUAACUAAUUUCCAACUUAUGUCCAACUCUGCUGGCGUGGCACCACGCCACGUCAGCCAUCAUUUAAAAAAAAAAAAAAAAAAAAUUUCAAAAUCAGCGUGAAAACGAUUUCGGUAUACCCAUUUCACCAUUUUCUCCGCAAAUCUCUUCCUCCCUCAACCCCAUCUACCGCCACCCACGACCACCACCACUGUCGAACACCCGUGAGCCCGCCACCGGUACGGACGUACAGCAGCAUCUCCGAAUAUCCGGCCAUUUGCUUCAUUUCCACCGGUGGAUACAGCUCCAUCUCCAUCUCCGGUUCGGCUUUGACGAUCCGACAACCCAACCACCGUACCGCCACGAGCAGCCCCAGCCGAGCCACCACCACCGCUGACGAGCCCAUCCACCGAAAAGUAGAAUCUGGAAGAUGUCUUGGAUUUUGGGGACAGUGUUAUUUUCUAAAGUUAAGAGAAUGGUGGUGGCCUGGUGGAUAUAAUCAUGUCCUAACUAUAGUCUUUGAAUAAUGUAAUGUGAUUUGUGGGUCUCGUCAAGAUGUGUUGACCAUCUACUGUUUGAUUGAUGCAUAUGUAAUGAGCGCAGUUGAAGAAUUAUGCUAGUUGAUGGACGAUACUUUUGUACAUGAAAUAUGGGUGUACUAGUUGGAGUUGUUGCUAAGU